rnacentral:rRNA from 1 species
CACCACCAAAGCAUUCUCUGGUGUUGAAGGCCCUGCAAAGCAGCAUCGCGGUGGCGGAGCGUCGUUUGCGACGCCCAACACACAAAACAAGCGGUGAGUGCUUUGGGGUGGGGUGACUGCGUACCUUUUGUAUAAUGGGUCAGCGACUUAUAUUCUGUAGCAAGGUUAACCGUAUAGGGGAGCCGAAGGGAAACCGAGUCUUAACUGGGCGUUAAGUUGCAGGGUAUAGACCCGAAACCCGGUGAUCUAGCCAUGGGCAGGUUGAAGGUUGGGUAACACUAACUGGAGGACCGAACCGACUAAUGUUGAAAAAUUAGCGGAUGACUUGUGGCUGGGGGUGAAAGGCCAAUCAAACCGGGAGAUAGCUGGUUCUCCCCGAAAGCUAUUUAGGUAGCGCCUCGUGAACUCAUCUUCGGGGGUAGAGCACUGUUUCGGCUAGGGGGUCAUCCCGACUUACCAACCCGAUGCAAACUGCGAAUACCGAAGAAUGUUAUCACGGGAGACACACGGCGGGUGCUAACGUCCGUCGUGAAGAGGGAAACAACCCAGACCGCCAGCUAAGGUCCCAAAGUCACAGUUAAGUGGGAAACGAUGUGGGAAGGCUCAGACAGCCAGGAUGUUGGCUUAGAAGCAGCCAUCAUUUAAAGAAAGCGUAAUAGCUCACUGGUCGAGUCGGCCUGCGCGGAAGAUGUAACGGGGCUAAACUGUGCACCGAAGCUGCGGCAGCGACGCUUAUGCGUUGUUGGGUAGGGGAGCGUUCUGUAAGCCUGCGAAGGUGUCCUGUGAGGGAUGCUGGAGGUAUCAGAAGUGCGAAUGCUGACAUAAGUAACGAUAAUGCGGGUGAAAAGCCCGCUCGCCGGAAGACCAAGGGUUCCUGUCCAACGUUAAUCGGGGCAGGGUGAGUCGACCCCUAAGGCGAGGCCGAAAGGCGUAGUCGAUGGGAAACGGGUUAAUAUUCCCGUACUUGGUGUUACUGCGAAGGGGGGACGGAGAAGGCUAUGUUGGCCGGGCGACGGUUGUCCCGGUUUAAGCGUGUAGGCUGGUUUUCCAGGCAAAUCCG